GGUUUUGAAAAAAGCUGACCUAAGACAGUAGGGGAGCAUAGCUCGUAAAUUUCCUACCGAGGCACAAAACGAUAUUGUUUAAUAACGUAUUUGUACUUUCGUGUCUAGGUUUAGAGACGAUUUUUUUCUGUCUCU
rfam:Streptococcus pseudoporcinus LQ 940-04 Contig1216510748, whole genome shotgun sequence.